GAAGAAAUGGCUGAGAGGUUUAAGGCGGUAGACUGUAAAUCUAUUAGAAUAUUCUAUCAUAGGUUCGAAUCCUAUUUUCUUCA
rnacentral:tRNA from 1 species